rnacentral:rRNA from 1 species
UCGGGAAUUUUGGGCAAUGGGCGAAAGCCUGACCCAGCAACGCCGCGUGAAGGAUGAAGUAUUUCGGUAUGUAAACUUCGUAAAAAUAGGAAGAAUAAAUGACGGUACUAUUUGUAAGGUCCGGCUAACUACGUGCCAGCAGCCGCGGUAAUACGUAGGGACCAAGCGUUGUUCGGAUUUACUGGGCGUAAAGGGCGCGUAGGCGGCGUGACAAGUCACUUGUGAAAUCUCCGGGCUUAACUCGGAACGGUCAAGUGAUACUGUCGUGCUAGAGUGCAGAAGGGGCAAUCGGAAUUCUUGGUGUAGCGGUGAAAUGCGUAGAUAUCAAGAGGAACACCUGAGGUGAAGACGGGUUGCUGGGCUGACACUGACGCUGAGGCGCGAAA